rnacentral:tRNA from 1 species
UUCCUGGUGGUCUAGUGGUUAGGGUUUGGCCCUUUUAACGCUAUGGCCUGGGUUCAGUCCCUGGUCUGGAAA